rnacentral:rRNA from 1 species
UACGUAGGGAGCAAGCGUUGUUCGGAGUUACUGGGCGUAAAGGGUGUGUAGGCGGUUAUUUAAGUUUGGUGGGAAAUCUCCCGGCUCAACCGGGAGGGUGCGCCGAAUACUGAAUGACUUGGAGUGCGGGAGAGGAAAGUGGAAUUCCUGGUGUAGCGGUGAAAUGCGUAGAUAUCAGGAGGAACACCGGUGGUGUAGACGGCUUUCUGGACCGUAACUGACGCUGAGACACGAAAGCGUGGGUAGCAAACAGG